rnacentral:rRNA from 1 species
UACGUAGGGUGCAAGCGUUGUCCGGAAUUAUUGGGCGUAAAGAGCUUGUAGGCGGUUUGUCGCGUCUGCCGUGAAAAUUCGAGGCUCAACCUCGAACUUGCGGUGGGUACGGGCAGACUAGAGUGUGGUAGGGGAGACUGGAAUUCCUGGUGUAGCGGUGAAAUGCGCAGAUAUCAGGAGGAACACCGAUGGCGAAGGCAGGUCCUCUGGGCCACUACUGACGCUGAGAAGCGAAAGCAUGGGGAGCGAACAGG